rnacentral:lncRNA from 1 species
AUGGGGGCCUCCACACUGGUCCUCCAGCAUGGGAGAUGUGGUCCAAUCAUCAAAAUGAGACAGAAGUCGGGAGAUGAGUUUCUAAGAAUCUCACUGCACAUCUUGAUCAAGACCAGGAGCGAGGAUACACAGCCAGUGCUUCACGAGUGGACUGAAGAGAAAAGGCAUCCAGCUGCACGGAGUGGGGAUGGGAUUGAGGCACUAACACCCACUUCAGGGGCACCAGGUGUCACUAAUAAUUAAGAUUAUCUGUGGUAUAAAUCCGGCUGUUUCGGAGCGUUCCCUACAACCACUUUGGGAUCCAGCGUUCCGGCGUCCGGUAAGUGAGUUGGCUUUUUUCUCUUUGUAUUUAAUUUUUAAAAAUUGUGUUGCUGUUUGUAUCCUUUUGUCUUCUCUUCCUUUUGGCUUUAGGUCUUAAAUAAAGUCCAUCCUGUAGUCUCA